GCCUGGCUGGCUCAGUCGGAAGAGCAUGAGACUCUUGAUCUCGGGGUCAUGAGUUCGAGCCCCACGUUGGGUG
rnacentral:tRNA from 1 species